GACCUCUUCACUGGACAGGGAUAAGGUGCAGGAGAGACCUCUUCACUGGACCAGGAUAAAAAUCUGUGAAUCAAUCCGUUGUGGUGAUAUGGGUGAUGUGGGUGAUAUGGGUGAUGCCCUUUGAACUCCAGGAAAAGGUUUUCACACACAAGCUCUACAUUAAUGCAGCACCCGCCUGAAAAAUCUGUCCAGUUGACCCACAGAACUUCUGUCAAGAGAUAUAGCACCACAACAACUGCAGAACUUGAUGUUGUGUCCCACACAGACCAGAGGAACAGGGACUUGAGGCCAUGGCAGAGCAGGGGGAAGCCCGGUUGACAGGAGAGGAACCACGAACACCCAACACGCCAUCCCUGAACCACCGGGGGACAGUAGAGGAACCACGAACACCCAACACGCCAUCCCUGAACCACCGGGGGACAGUAGAGGAACCACGAACACCCAACACGCCAUCCCUGAACCACCGGGGGACAGUAGAGGAACCACGAACACCCAACACGCCAUCCCUGAACCACCGGGGGACAGGGGGGACUUUCGGGGAGGGUCAAGAUGUGGAGAAGGGAGAAGUCAUAACCAGAUCCAGGAGGGAGAAGAACGGUCGCUUCACCAACCCCUGGCCCACAUGGCUCCUCCUCUGACUCCCUGCUCCGGUUCUACCUACUAGAUAAGGACCACAGCAACGUACCCCGUUCCAAAGAGUCACUGCAUGUGGACCCAGAGGAGUCUGUGGAGAUUCAUAAGGACGUCAAGGCCAAACACUCCCUGGCUAUUCACUGGGGGACCUUCGCAUUAGCUCAUGAGUUUUACUUAGAGCCUCCAGUGAGACUCAGGGAGGCCA